AUCGAUAGAGGCGCGGGGUCGAUGAGUCGCGCGGCGGAGCUCCUCCAGGGGCAGCGAAACCGCACAAAAGGCGAACCCGCCGAAAUCCGGGGCGCGCUGGAGCCGCCGCGGGUUGGGGCGCCGGAGAACAUGCGGCGCACUGUCACAAUGUGCAUUGUGGAGCGCUAUCU
rnacentral:ncRNA from 1 species